UACGGGGGGGGCAAGCGUUGUUCGGAAUUACUGGGCGUAAAGGGCUCGUAGGUGGCCAACUAAGUCAGACGUGAAAUCCCUCGGCUUAACCGGGGAACUGCGUCUGAUACUGGAUGGCUUGAGUUUGGGAGAGGGAUGCGGAAUUCCAGGUGUAGCGGUGAAAUGCGUAGAUAUCUGGAGGAACACCGGUGGCGAAGGCGGCAUCCCGGACCGGUAUUGACGCUGAGGCGCGAAAGCCAGGGGAGCAAACGGG
rnacentral:rRNA from 1 species